GUGUCAGCAGCCGCGGUAAUACAGAGGGUGCAAGCGUUGUUCGGAAUCACUGGGCGUAAAGCGCGCGCAGGCGGGAACGCAAGUCUGUAAGUGAAAUCCAGCCGCUCAACGGCUGGGCUGCUUCGGAUACUACGUUUCUAGGGACCGGUAGAGGCUGGUAGAAUUGCAGGUGUAGCGGUGGAAUGCGUAGAGAUCUGCAAGAAUACCCGUGGCGAAGGCGGCCAGCUGGGCCGGGUCCGACGCUGAGGCGCGAAAGCGUGGGGAGCAAACAGGAUUAGAAACCCCCGUAGUCC
rnacentral:rRNA from 1 species